CCCUAGGGACACGAGGUGACUGGCAUGGCGUGUCGUCAGCUCGUGUCGUGAGAUGUUGGGUUAAGUCCCGUAACGAGCGCAACCCUUGUCCUUAGUUACCAGCACGUAAUGGUGGGAACUCUAAGGAGACUGCCGGUGACAAACCCGGAGGAAGGUGGGGAUGACGUCAAGUCAUCAUGGCCCUUACGGCCAGGGCUACACACGUGCUACAAUGGUCGGUACAAAGGGUUGCCAAGCCGCGAGGUGGAGCUAAUCCCAUAAAACCGAUCGUAGUCCGGAUCGCAGUCUGCAACUCGACUGCGUGAAGUCGGAAUCGCUAGUAAUCGUGAAUCAGAAUGUCACGGUGAAUACGUUCCCGGGCCUU
rnacentral:rRNA from 1 species